CUACGGGGGGCAGCAGUGAGGAAUAUUGCGCAAUGGACGAAAGUCUGACGCAGCAACGCCGCGUGGGCGAAGAAGGCCUUCGGGUUGUAAAGCCCUUUUCUGAGGGAAGAGAGAGGACGGUACCUCAGGAAUAAGUCUCGGCUAACUACGUGCCAGCAGCCGCGGUAAAACGUAGGAGGCGAGCGUUAUCCGGAUUUAUUGGGCGUAAAGCGCAUGCAGGUGGUUUCGUAAGUCGGACGUGAAAGCCUCUGGCUUAACUGGAGGAGGUCGUUCGAUACUGCGGAACUUGAGGUCGGAAGAGGGAAGUGGAAUUCCCGGUGUAGUGGUGGAAUGCGUAGAUAUCGGGAGGAACACCAGUGGCGAAGGCGACUUCCUGGUCCGCACCUGACACUAAGAUGCGAAAGCGUGGGGAGCGAACGGGAUUAGAUACCCUAGUAGUC
rnacentral:rRNA from 1 species